UUUCUUCCAAAUGCAACAGCUUAAUAAUAAACUUUUUUCAUAUAAUAAUAUUAAGCAUAACACACUCCAUAAUUCUCUAUUCCAUCAAACAUUGUCCCAUACUUUUUUUUCCAUCUAUAGAUAUAGAUACUACUAGAGAAAAUAAAAUAUAUAUUUAACCAUAAAGUUCAUCCAUAGUACUAGUACCAGUAACAAGUGUUACAAAUAUUAUUACUGCAUGUGCUUCCUUCAACAAUAAGCGAUACACUUGUUCUUGCAAUCAAUGGUGCAACUACCACCGCCGCCACCGCCACCAUAUCCGUUGCCGGAACUGCUGGAAGAAGUGAAACACUUAGCUGGGCAAGUAACCUUUUUCUGGUAACAAGGUCCUUUGUCUUUGCACACAACAGUUGGUCUGACUACACCAUUUUUAGAGUGCCCUCCAUUGGGACUUCCAUACCCAGAUCCAUACCCUCCUCCUAUGAUUCCAUUUCCAAAUCCGGGUAUGUUGAACCCUCCUUCAGGACCAAAGAAGUCACCACCAUCAGAAGUAGAGUAGUGAAAAGGAGAAUGAAGGUGGUGAAAGGUUUCAUUUUGGAUGAGUUUGAAAUCAAAUCAAGGUGAACUGAAGUUUGAUGAGAAAAAAGGUGAGAUAGUGGAGGAGGAAUAUUUAAAUGUGUUUAGUGGGAUAUGAUUAAAUUAAUGACAUAGGUGUAGUUGGAAUCAUAAAUCAUAUACGAUGUAAAACAUUUAUGAUCUUGUAGUAGGUCGGUUGCAAUUAUUAUAUAUACAGUUGCUUCUAUCUCAAGGACAUAUAGUUA